CUAGGUUUGACAAACAAAAACACACAGACACACAGGACAAACAACAUGACAAAUACUUAUAACAAUAAUUACAAUACACAGGAAGGAGGGAGUUUACCGGCAACUGGCCACAUCCUAGACCCCCAUAUAUCAAAACAUCAGGGCCUUUUGCAACAUUGUUUCUUGCUUUUUUAUUGGCCGAGUCCAACCAAAUUGCUCCUUCUCUAUCUGACCAGAAUAUACUGAUACCUCCUAACUAGGGGGCUCAUUAGCUAAAUCCCCCAGGCUUUAGCUGCAUUAAAUAUUUUGCUUUGAACACCAAUUUGCGCUGACUCAUUUUCAAGUGAAGUGGCGGAAUAAUGAAAUGAUCGUUAGUUUGAGUAACCUCUUGGAACGGAAUGGGUUAAACCUGUGUGUGUAACACUGUGAGUGUAAAGCUGUAACAUUGUGAGCGUUUGCCGUACAGAUAACUAUUCAUGUAAUUUUUGUUCGUGAGGCUGUUUUGCAGGCAGAAUCUGUGUAAAAUCAAUGGGAACAUGUAGCGGAUGGCAUUGGGCUGUCCUCAAAGUUUGCUUUAAAAAUUUAUUUUGUUAGCGUGUGGAGUGCCGUUGGGGCACCACACGCAUGUCUGUUCAACCCAUAUGCACCGC